UUCAUCCUAUGCGAGUUCUUCUGUCAUUCUUGAAUUGGCGCUUGUUUUUGUAUUUGCUGAUCUACGAACUGCCGCUCCAUUCUUUUAACACCUUGCAUGAAUAUUUGGAUCUUAACUUUACAGCACAGUUAAUGCAGUUGCUGCACAGAGAACAGUGUGUUUACAAGUGUGAGAUCAGAUACAUCUAUGUCAGUAGAUUGUAGGAAACAGAGGGAUACUUGUGUUACACAUAAGACCCAACACUCUAUUCCAGUAUAUUCCAUAUCCAUGAGAAUGACUUUGUAUUUUGUGAUGACUUGUAUAUGGACAUAAGUAAAUAAACAUCUAGUAAACUA
rnacentral:lncRNA from 1 species